GAACACUAUCCCCUUCAAAAUCUCUUUCUACACUAUGCAAUUCUUUGUUUUGCAUGCUGUCUAAAUUUCUAUUAAUAAAAGACUAAUUUAUGGUAAUAAUUUUCCUCUUUCAAAAUGCAAAUAUUCUCGGGAAAAUUAAAUAGGUUGCCAUUAAUUCCUUAAAGUGAAUUGAUUAAACCAAAUUGCUUCUACCCAGCAGAGAUAAGUCUCACUGAAGAAACAGGCAUUUCAAUUCAGACAUGGAGGCCUUUGAUGGGAAGGCAGAAGAGGACAUUUCCUGUGGGAGCAGUCUUGGUUAGGCACCAUGAGACGCUUCAUGUGUCCAACAAGCAGCCCAAGGACAGUGACACAUGGGUUUGCAAAGAGCUGUCGGAGUGUGAAAACACGUGGCUUAUUUAACUUAAGUCUGGUUCAUUGUCAAACUAUGUAAAAGAACCUGAAAACCACUUCCUAACAGAUUUCACCCCUGGACACUAGAAUUCUGAGUCCUUCACCUGCAUAGGCAGGCACACUCUUCUGUAUGACCACAGCAUGCCCCAAUUACCAAAGAAAUGGUAUGUUCAUGAUGGAUUAAAGUAUGUGUGGUUUCAAAAUAUGGAUUAAAUGGAGC
rnacentral:lncRNA from 1 species